rnacentral:rRNA from 1 species
GACAGAGGGUGCAAACGUUGCUCGGAAUCACUGGGCGUAAAGGGCGUGUAGGCGGGAAGGAAAGUCAGAUGUGAAAUCCCCAGGCUCAACCUGGGAACUGCAUUUGAAACUCCCUUUCUUGAGUGCCGGAGAGGAAAGCGGAAUACCUGGUGUAGAGGUGAAAUUCGUAGAUAUCAGGUGGAACACCAGUGGCGAAGGCGGCUUUCUGGACGGUAACUGACGCUGAGGCGCGAAAGCGUGGGGAGCGAACAGG